CCUACGGGGCGCAGCAGUGGGGAAUAUUGGGCAAUGGGCGCAAGCCUGACCCAGCAAUGCCGCGUGAAGGAAGAAGGCUUUCGGGUUGUAAACUUCUUUGACAGGGGAAGAGUAGAAGACGGUACCUGACGAAUAAGCCACGGCUAACUACGUGCCAGCAGCCGCGGUAAUACGUAGGUGGCAAGCGUUGUCCGGAUUUACUGGGUGUAAAGGGCGUGUAGCCGGGUUGACAAGUCAGAUGUGAAAUCCUGCGGCUUAACCGCAGAACUGCAUUUGAAACUGUUGAUCUUGAGUACUGGAGAGGCAGACGGAAUUCCUAGUGUAGCGGUGAAAUGCGUAGAUAUUAGGAGGAACACCAGUGGCGAAGGCGGUCUGCUGGACAGCAACUGACGGUGAGGCGCGAAAGCGUGGGGAGCAAACAGGAUUAGAUACCCGAGUAGUC
rnacentral:rRNA from 1 species